CAAACAUUUGACACUCUUUUACUAUAUUACCGAAACAUCCAUAUCAAGUAACAAUAAUAGCAACGAAACUCAUACGAAGAUAGAUGAAACAAAAGGGUAAGAAAACCAGAUUAUUACUUCUAUUACAAAUUGAACAACACAUAAUACUAGCAAAACUGAAAAUCCAAGGGAAGUUCAAAAUUACCAAAAGCACUCGAUCCAAAAUUGUUCAGUUAUGCUAAUUGUGAUGUGAGGCUCACAGUUGUUGCUUAAUGUUUUCUGUAUGCAACUGUGCCAAAGCUUCUUAUUACAAGACUGUUGUGGCUUUGGUCAUUGUUUGGUGGCGGGAAGGCAAUGUAGGAGGUGGAGGCUGAGAUUUAUAUAUCUGUGAGCGGGCAGGGUCAUCAUCAAGUUCAUUAGAAUAAUUAGUAGUUUCUAUGGAAGCAAUACCCAUGGACUGAGCUUGGAGAUUGAUUUGAGGAAGACCCUCAGCUUGUUUAUGAUUUUCAUUAUGGGGUACAUUAACAAGUGAACUUGAUGUUGGGACCAUUCUGUAAACUUGUGAGGCUAACUCAGGUGCAGGUGAAGCAGCUGCGACCUUGUAAGCCACUUGAGUAGGGUUGAGAGAAGGAUAAGGAUGUGUUGGGGGAUGAUCAGAACAAACAGUUGCAGGGUUAAUCAAACCACUUUGCAUAGGAAAACUGUAAGGAUAGCCAACAGGCACAACAUAUAUUGGGUGUGGUUGAUUGGUCUGAUAAUACAUCUGCUGCUGAGGGACUGGAGAACUCAUCAAAUAGUAAGAAGAUAUUGGCAUCAUUCCAGGUGGGUUCUGCGGUAAGUAAUGUGGAGCAGGUGUAUGGACAAAUUGUACUUGUGGCUUGUCAAAUUGGAGAGACAAUGGAAACCCAGAAACAUGAACCACUUUUUGCGUCUCAACCCCAAUGGAAGGAUCAAGGAUUUUACUCACAGAU
rnacentral:misc_RNA from 1 species